rnacentral:rRNA from 1 species
GAUGAACGCUGGCGGCGUGCCUAAUACAUGCAAGUCGAGCGAACAGACGAGGAGCUUGUUCCUCUGACGUUAGCGGCGGACGGGUGAGUAACACGUGGAUAACCUACCUAUAAGACUGGGAUAACUUCGGGAAACCGGAGCUAAUACCGGAUAAUAUAUUUAACCGCAUGGUUCAAUAGUGAAAGACGGUUUUGCUGUCACUUAUAGAUGGAUCCGCGCCGCAUUAGCUAGUUGGUAAGGUAACGGCUUACCAAGGCAACGAUGCGUAGCCGACCUGAGAGGGUGAUCGGCCACACUGGAACUGGGACACGGUCCAGACUCCUACGGGAGGCAGCAGUAGGGAAUCUUCCGCAAUGGGCGAAAGCUUGACGGAGCAACGCCGCGUGAGUGAUGAAGGUCUUCGGAUCGUAAAACUCUGUUAUUAGGGAAGAACAAAUGUGUAAGUAACUAUGCACGUCUUGACGGUACCUAAUCAGAAAGCCACGGCUAACUACGUG